CCGGCCUAGAACGAUCCCUACUUACAUACUUUACUACAAUUGAUAAAAAGAGGGUUUAAUUUUGUGUGCUUAUAUAUUUCGCAUCACUUAUCUUUGGCAUAAAUAUGUACACUACAAGUUUAGUUCGAACGAAACAAAUACGCAAGUAAAGUAAAGGGCAUCAAUGCUACAUGCACUACUUUACAACCAUCUCAAGUUGCCGACACAACGCUUAAAAUAUUUGAGACUCAGAUUUUCAUACAAACAUAGCACCUCACCUAAACAAUAACUGAAGUUGUGGCAUCUGAAUUAAGCAGGCAGACGCUUUGCAAGGCUUUCUUCAAUAUCAUCUCAUAUUCCCUUUUCUUCUUUCCUAUAUGAUACAAUAAACCGUUCAAAUUCAUACGUAAAUAAGAGAAUCUGCCACACUAUACUUUUACAGUUGCUAGUCUUAAACAAUAAUGCACGUGUAAUUGCACUUAAUCAAGAACUUCAUCAAAUAAACAAUAAUAAAAUCUAAAAUCUAAUCUAAUAUGUCAAAAACAAUAAAAACAAAAAAAGAUAAAAGAAAGCAAUCAUGAAGGCACUGUAAUGCCUUCGCCAUCGUACACUUGUAGCAUGUAAUUGAUGCAUCUGUUGUUCAAUGAAAUCAUUUGCUUGGCUAAAAAAAUUAAAAUACAAUAAAUAUAAUGAUAUCCAAUUUAUGAGAAAUCAUGCAGAAGCAAAUGUCAAUGAUAAUGGAAUCAUGAAUGUGAAUGAGAAACACAAACUUGCCAAAAAGAAAACUAUUAUAGCGUGCAAAGAUACUCACAUCGUAUUUCUUUAUUGCAUCAUUCAUUUUGCAAUGCAUUAAAAAAAAUUGUUUGGAAAAGCUUUGCUAUGAUGAUUAGGUUUUGUGAGAAAUAAUACAAAAAAAAAUAAAGAGACAAUUACUGAAAUGACAUAAUGAUGGCCUAGUAAUGGUAAAAUACACACAUCAAUAAUGCACACGAACAUGUGAGUUGAAAUUUUGAAACAUUUGACAACAAAAAGAAAGAAGCAAAAUUAGAAGAAAAUAAAGAAGAAAUAAUACCAGGCUUCUUCUCUUGGGCAUCCAAAAUUCCAUCGCUGAAUCCUUCAACCUUAAACAUAUUUAAAAUACAAAACGGAAAAAACCCAGAAGAAAUCAUCACAUAGAAUUAAAUCAUCCAAAUAAAAUUAGACCAUGGACACAAAAGGAAAUGAAGGCAGUUUAAUCUGACUUAAUCAAUGACUUAAUUUGACUUAAUCAAUGACUUACUGAAUAACCUUGGAAUCUGUCCCAUGCAUGCAUUCGGCUUCAACCCCCACCCUCGUUGCCCCUUUAAUACAUAGACAUAAAUAAAAGAAAUCAACUUCAAGUUAUCAAUCGAAUCAUUUGCUUGGCUAAAAAAGUUAAAAUACAAUAAAUAUAUUCACAUCCAAUUUAUGAGAUAUCAUGUAAAAGCAAAUGUAAAUGAUUACAGAAUCAUGAAUGCGAAUAAGAAACACAAACUUGCCAAAAAGAAAACCUAUUAUAGUGUGUCAAGAGGCCCGCAACAUAUAUAUAUUUUUUAUGCCAUUAUCCAUUUCGUAAUACAUUAAAAAAAAAAUUUGAAAAAGCUUUGCUAUGAUUAUUAGGCUUGGAAAAAAUAAAAAAACAACUACUAAAAAAGCGUGGAACGAAGUAAAUGUAUGGUUCCAUAGAUGCAAACAAAAUAACACUACGGCAAAAUAUUUGAUUAAGACCCCUCUCUACCAGUUUGAUGACAAAAACACACACCUCUCUCGUGCAGGAAUGAACCUAACCAUUUAACGAAAAAAGACAAAAACCGAUACGGUAGCCAAACAAACAAAAUCUAGAAACAAACACAACAUAUUGUGUAAACAUUGGCCCACAGAACUUAAAUCGACUUAAUCGUUGUAAAAAUCUAAACAUAAAAUUUAUUGCGAAGCAAGAGCAAUGUUUUAAAAGGCUCGCCUCAGGGCGCGCCUAAGCAGCCUUUGAGGCUGGGCUUGAGGGUUGCCACCUCUGUUUUGAGGGAGUGGGCGGAAGGCGUCCAAGCGUGCAUUGUCACACUCUACCUUUUUUUUCUGAUUUUUAUUUUUUUAUAUAAUGGAUGUGUGUACUGUCUGUGUGCAUUGUUAUAUGUGUGCUCAUUGUUGUGGAUGCAAAUUUCUUCCUCCUUGAUCUUGGACAAUUUUGCACCUACAAAAUAAUUAACACCUUAGGUUAAGGCCAAGAGCCUCACGCGCCCACGAUGAAUUGGGGGGGGGGCUUUAGCCGAAGAACCUCCGAUGCCAAAGUUAGAAUUUAGAGAGAAAGAAUGUUUAGAGAAUUUUGGGAUUUUUGCCAAAGUGUUGGAAUGGGUGUUUGGCGAAAAUGAGAGCCUAUUUAUAGGGCUAGGCUGGUCCACUUUGGAGAGAAAGUGGCCGGCCAUAAUGUGGUUUUUUUGUGUGAAACUUUUGGUUUAAUUAGCCAAUUUAUUGGCUAAUUAAACAUGAAAGAAAUAAAUGGGGGGUUAUGGGAUUAAUUGACUAACUUAAUUUGGGUAAUAAAGUGGAAAAAAUAAAAAAGGUGAAGAGCAAAGGGUGUGGCUGGCCUUUGACUAGCUUACGGGUUGAAUUGGAUGUAUUUUGUGGUUAUUUGGAUAUAAUGGAUGGUUUAAUUGACAAUUAAUGGGUUAAUUAGGCAAUAAACCCAUUAAUUAGGCAAUUAACAUAAUUUAAAAGGAAUGUUUUUGGGAAUUACCUUGUAGAAAGGAUUUGAUGUGGUUGGAUGAAAUAGUUUUUGAAUUGUUACCUAUUUUGGGCACUUUUGACUUGGUUGAAAGAUGAUUCUUCUCUACUUGCGCGUAGGAAUCCCGAUGUGCCUCAAGGGUAUUCUUGUCCUUUAUUAUCCAAAGAUCCAUGUGUCGUCUUGUGAUUAUUUUUGACUCCACAAAUGCCCCCACACCUGUUGGACUGCUCGCAGGAAAGAGCAGCAGGUGUAGAGAUCUUCUUGCUUCCGGAAACGUAGGAUUGUUUCCUUUUUUAAUGUUGAUUCUCUCUUUAAUAGGAAAUUAUAUCGUUCUAGGGAAGGGAAAUAAAUUUCUCUCAAAGCCUAUUUAAGUCCACCUUAAGUGGGUUAUUAAAUCAACUUUGGAGAGCGAUUUUUUCUACCCAACAAGCGAGAAAGCUUAGAGGAUAUUUGUUCCCCCUCCUCUAGCAAUCUUCUACAUCUUUCCCGUGCAAAGGACCAUCUUUCGUUGCUUUAUUCAUCUUCUCCGUGCCGCACCAAUGUAAGAAAAAUUCAAUUUUUCUUGUGGUGGGGCAGCAGUUGAGGUGGUGCGGCAUGUCGGCUGGUAGGGGCCAGGAGUCGGCUCUGCAUAGGCCGAGGAGGCGUCGUGGCAGGGGCCACUGCUUGGGUUGUUUGGCUUGGCUAAAGCCAAAGGCAACUUGUGUGAUCAGGGCUCCGGAUUAUGGCGCUAGGGCGCAGUGCUAGGUGAGCCACAUAGCUCAUGUCCUUUGGGCUCUUUGACCUUACUCGGGCUAGGCUGGCGACUGAAAGAAAUGAGGAGGUCGUGGGCCUCAUGGGUUGCUGGAAUGCUGGGCAUGCAGGCCUCCUGCCUGCUAGAAUGCUGGGUUGAUCUCCUCUGCUAAGUACUGUGAAUGACAUUGGCUGCUUAGUUCUCUUCGUCGGGAGAAAGGUAGGCUGCCCCCAAAAGAUAAGGUAAAGAUGAUCAAGGCGGAUGCAUUGGCUCAUCUGAUCACUAUCAUAGAGCUUACUAUGAAUGAAGGUGGAAAGAAGAGAUCUUCCCC
rnacentral:lncRNA from 1 species